CUUAAGCUGCCUUCAGGGCUGAUAUCAUGGGUUGGUCAACUGCCUGAGAUUUCUUCCUCUAUCUGGGGUUAGCAAGACACCUAAAAGCAGAAGCAACUGAGGCCCAGAGGAGCAAAGGCCCCCAAGCAAGGUCUCCAGCAGGCUGGGAGCACGGUGGAAAUGGAGCCCGCUCCCCUGUCUUCCACUGCCUGUUUAAGAGAAGAGCAGCCGCGAGGCCCUGGGCUGGUCUCGGGGGUGAGCUCUGCUGUGGAUACCCGCCAUGGCUUGUCUUCCCCGCCCACAGAUAAAUGCAACCUUUCUCUUCUA
rnacentral:lncRNA from 1 species